rnacentral:rRNA from 1 species
CCUACGGGAGGCAGCAGUAGGGAAUCUUCCACAAUGGGCGAAAGCCUGAUGGAGCAACGCCGCGUGGGUGAAGAAGGUCUUCGGAUCGUAAAACCCUGUUGAUAGAGAAGAAAGUGCGUUAGAGUAACUGUUCACGUUUCGACGGUAUCUAACCAGAACGCCACGGCUCACUACGUGCCAGCAGCUGCGGUAAUACGUAGGUGGCAAGCGUUAUCCGGAUUUAUUUGGCGUAAAGGGAACGCAGGCGGUCUUUUAAGUCUGAUGUGAAAGCCUUCGGCUUAACCGGAGUAGUGCAUUGGAAACUGGGAGGCUUGAGUGCGGAAGAGGAAGGUGGAACUCGAUGUGUAGCGGUGAAAUGCGUAGAUAUAAGGAAGAACACCGGUGGCGAAGGCAGCUCUCUGGUCUGUAACUGACGCUGAGGUUCGAAAGCGUGGGUAGCAAACAGGAUUAGAUACCCCAGUAGUC